rnacentral:rRNA from 1 species
CACGAACUGCGCGAACGUUAUUCGGAAUCACUGGGCUUAAAGAGUUCGUAGGCGGCCAUGCAAGUCGGGUGUGAAAUCCCUCGGCCCAACCGAGGAAUGGCGCCCGAUACUGUCUGGCUUGAGGAAGUUAGGGGUGAGCGGAACUGAUGGUGGAGCGGUGAAAUGCGUUGAUAUCAUCAGGAACACCGGUGGCGAAAGCGGCUCACUGGGACUUUUCUGACGCUGAGGAACGAAAGCUAGGGGAG